GGAAAGCAGCUGUUCGGUCCUUACUGCCGCAACCCAAAACAACAGACAGAGAUUAAAAUACAACCACAAUGACCUCUCACAGCAUCUGAUGGUGAAAAAGGAUCCGUGCAGAAGAUAGAAUGCUGGCUGUCCCUGUCUCUGAAAGACUGCUAAUCCUGGCUAAUCCUACAUCUGAUGAAAGAUGUCUGUCUGCACAUCGAAAGGAAAUUUGCUGAAGUCUAAUCUAAGGAUCAAAAGGUCUUAAGAAUCAGAGCCACAAUGAAAGACAAUGACAGAAUUAUUAAACACAGCUACAUUUCAUCAUAAAAGAUUAAUUAUUUACUGUAGAAUUAAAGGGCUACAAUGAAAUUAAAAUCCAUCAACCAUUUUCAUUUCACCAAGGCAAAAUCAAACCCACAAGCAUCAGAGUGACAAAGAACAAUUUGGUCCUUUCUUCAGACUGUUUUUUUGUUUUUUAUUUGCCUUUGGAUUAUAAUUAUUAAUGAUAAAUUGCAUUCUUGCUACAGAGAGAUCAGGCAAAAUAAUAAAAGUUUGUCAACAGGAAGCCAUUGUUAUUGGAUAAUUUGCUGAAGUUCAAAUACCAAAACAUGGAUUAAAUGGUAUUUUAUAAUUAUAUGUUUAGACAAUAUAUAUAUACAACCAUAAAAAAUUGAAUCAUGUGUAAUUUUAUGCAUGUAUAUAUUAUUUCAUGUAUAUAUUGCUAACCUGGACAUGUUUUCUAAAAUA